CUGCCAACAAGCGUAAUCAGAGAAUGAUGUGAAUCGUAGCCCCCCAAGCUUAUUUUGAUUUAGUGUUAUUUUCUAGGGUUUUAUACACUUUAGAGGAUAUAACAAAUAAAUUAUAAACGCUAACUGCUGUUUUCCUGAAUUUAUUUUUGUCUGAAGGAAAUCCCUUUCUCUGCUUUACACUUGAUCAUCACGCAGAUGUUCUGUAAAGUGGCACAAUUUAAUCACACUUGUUCAGUACAAUUGUCUAAAUGCCAGUCUAAUAGUCUAUAUAAGGAGUAGGCAACCUUCGGCACUCCAGAUGUUGUGGACUACGUCCCCCAUAAUGCUCUUACACUCAUAAUGCUGGCAAAGCAUCAUGGAAAAUGUAGUCCAUAACAUCUGGAGUGCCAAAGGCUGCCUACGCCUGGUCUAGAUCUAUAUGUGAUGAGAAAUAUUCGGUACUUGUAUCUGUGCACAUCAAACGCACCAUUGUUUUUCUACAAUUUUUGGAAAACCAUCAAAAAGACAAUUAAUUUUUUUCUACGUUUCCAUAGAGUAGGACUUCCUGUUCAGUUUAACCUCAUUACCUUCUUUCACUCCUUUUUGAUACUUUGAAACAAUGGACGUCAAUAUCACUAAGUAAACAAGUAAUACAUUUCAAUUGCACUUAAUGAACUGCGAAUGUCAAUUAUGGGGUAAAGGUUCAGUGUUUCUUUUUUUUUCUUGCGCUUUGAUUACAUUUUCUGAAAUUAGUCACAAUUCCCACCAGGUCUCUGUUAUUUGAAAGUAAACUUGCUGUCUAAGUGUUUCUGCGGAUGUUAUCGACGCGUUUAGCUGGUAAACCUGCUAGUAGAAGAACCGAGGGGAAAUAUCCGCUGCCACAAUGUAAUCAACUCAGAUGCAAA